rnacentral:sRNA from 1 species
CUGCCCAAAGCUGGGUCUUUUGGCUCCAAGUCGGGAGCACGCUGCACACCUCAUGCCGUGGAUCAGGCCUUGAAGCUCUCUGUGAAGGUGUACAUUGCGCCCCUCAUUGACCGGCAGAGAGCCAGGCCUCAGGGACGAGAUCCUGGACAGUGUGAAUACUUCCACUGCAGCCCAUGUCCAGUUACCAAUGCGGGGUACUGUGCGUGGAGCUGGAGAGAGCCACCAGGUCGCUCCAGUUUGGUGCCAGCGCCUGGAGGGAGAGGCGUGGCGAGGGCUGUGCUGCCUAGGAUCCACUGAGUGGCUUUUGCUGGCGUCUCAGCUGCGCGCGAACCAGGGCUGGAAGGCUCGGCUGGAGGUGUGACCAGGGCAGGGACUGACCUGGCCCGGAACAGAAGAGCGCAGAGUCCCAUCCUGCCACGCCACGAGGAGAGAAGAAGGAAAGAUACAGUGUUAGGAAAGAGACCUCCCUCGCCCCUACGCCCCGCGCCCCUGCGCCUCGCUUCAGCCUCAGGACAGUCCUGCCGGGACGGUGAGAG